GGAGCGGUAGUUCAGUUGGUUAGAAUACCGGCCUGUCACGCCUGGGGGUCGCGGGUUCGAGUCCCGUCCGCUCCGCCA
rnacentral:tRNA from 1 species